ensembl:snRNA U6 U6 spliceosomal RNA
GUGCUUGCUUCGGCAGCACAUACACUCAAGUUGGAACGAUACAGAGAGGAUUAGCAUGGCCUCUGUGCAAGGAUGACACGCAAAUUCGUCAAGUGUUCCACAUUUUU